CCCAGAGGGGAUCACGUUCCGGCAGCUUGGAAGUAUAUGGGAAACCCAAGGGACUGAGACAGACCUCGGCCGCCUGCCCUCCCCGCAGGUGAGGGGACUUGCCUGCUUUGGGAGCCCAAUGAGCCCCCUCCUUUACACUGCCCCUACACACCCCUCAGUCCUGUAUUCUGGCCACCAGCCGGGUGUGAGCACAAUGACUAGGUCUGGGAGAGACUGUGCAGUUCCCUGAUCAACCAGGAGAGGUCCCCCUGAGGCACGCGGCACUGCCCUUGCAAGGGAGGCAGGGAGAGCUGGGGGCUCAAACUGGGGCCUGCCCCCUGGCAAUGCCAGCUGCUCACACCAGCCCAGCUGGCUGUGCCCACCCUGCCCACCACCAGG